rnacentral:rRNA from 1 species
UACGUAGGCAGCGAGCGUUGUUCGGAGUUACUGGGCGUAAAGGGUGUGUAGGCGGUUGUUUAAGUUUGGUGUGAAAUCUCCCGGCUCAACUGGGAGGGUGCGCCGAAUACUGAAUGACUUGGAGUGCGGGAGAGGUGAGUGGAAUUCCUGGUGUAGCGGUGAAAUGCGUAGAUAUCGGGAGGAACACCUGUGGCGAAAGCGGCUCUCUGGACCACAACUGACGCUGAGGCGCGAAAGCUAGGGGAGCAAACAGG